GGCGAACGCUGGCGGCGCGCUUAACACAUGCAAGUCGAACGGAAAGGCCUGCUUUCCCUUGUGGAUUGCGGGUACUCGAGUGGCGAACGGGUGAGUAACACGUGAGUGAUCUGCCCCCAACUUGGGUAUAAGCCUGGGAAACUGGGUCUAAUUCCCGAUAGGACUGCAGGGUGGUGCCUGUGGUGGAAAACGAUUUUCUAGUGGUUGGGGAUGAGCUCGCGGCCUAUCAGCUUGUUGGUGGGGUAAUGGCCUACCAAGGCGGCGACGGGUAGCCGGCCUGGGAGGGUGGACGGCCACAUUGGGACUGAGAUACGGCCCAGACUCCUACGGGAGGCAGCAGUGGGGAAUAUUGCACAAUGGGCGGAAGCCUGAUGCAGCGACGCCGCGUGGGGGAUGACGGCCUUCGGGUUGUAAACUCCUUUCGACCGCGAGGAAGCCACCUGGUUGGAAGGGUGGUGACGGUAGUGGUAGAAGAAGCACCGGCUAACUACGUG
rnacentral:rRNA from 1 species